GGAUUGUGGCUCAGAGGUAGAGUGAUCACCUAGCACGAGCGAGGCCCUGGGUUCGAUCCUAAGCACCA
rnacentral:tRNA from 1 species